rnacentral:rRNA from 1 species
UACAGAGGAGCCAAGCGUUGUCCGGAUUGACUGGGCGUAAAGCGCACGCAGGCGGAUGCGCGCGUGGGGUGUGAAAUCUGGCCGCUUAACGGCCAGGCGCCAUCCCAUACGGCGCGUCUGGAGUGAUGCAGAGGUCGAUGGAAUUGCCGGUGUAGUGGUGAAAUGCGUAGAGAUCGGCAGGAACACCCAGGGGGAAACCAGCGGACUGGGCAUCAGCUGACGCUCAGGUGCGACAGCGUGGGGAGCGAACCGG